rnacentral:rRNA from 1 species
UUCGGUGGGAGCGGCAGACGGGUGAGUAACGCGUGGGAAUCUACCCAACUCUACGGAAUAACUCAGGGAAACUUGUGCUAAUACCGUAUACGCCCUUCGGGGGAAAGAUUUAUCGGAGUUGGAUGAGCCCGCGUUGGAUUAGCUAGUUGGUGGGGUAAAGGCCUACCAAGGCGACGAUCCAUAGCUGGUCUGAGAGGAUGAUCAGCCACACUGGGACUGAGACACGGCCCAGACUCCU